GACUCAGGGGUGCAGUUAGAAGUACCUCUAGCUGUGGUUGAGAAGAUCUUGCUGAAUCUGCCCGCUCAUCAGGUGGUGCGAGUGUGUCGUCUGGUGUGUCAUGAGUGGAAAGAGCUAGUGGACAGUGCUGCACACUGGAAAGGGCGCUGUAGGAGAGAGGGAAUUCAGCCCUGUGAUGCUUCCAGACCCCCAGAGGACUGGUGUCAGUUUUACAUCCUAAAUAAGAAUCGACGUAACCUGCUCAAAAAUCCCAAAGCUGAAGCUGGAUUGCAAGGAUGGGAGAUUAUGGGUAAUAGAAAGGCCUGCUGGCUAAUGGAAGAAAAUAGAAAACCAUUCCCGGACAACACAGUCACCAGAUGUUAUGUAGCAUUUAAUGGGUUGUGUUUGAAGCGACAGCUGAUUGAUUUGCAGAAAGAAGGCUACAGUGCUGCUUUCAUGGAUCAACUGCAACCUGACAUCAAAAUCUCAGACUGGUAUACCACAACUGCUCCUUAUGGAAUUAGGUAUCGGGUCUUUAUGGAACUGCUUAAUGAGGAGAUGCAACCCAUUAGUAGCUAUCAUCCGUAUAGAAUGGUUCUAGAUGGGGACAAUUAUCCAUGGUGUGAGAUAACGUGUGUCUUUCGAAAUUAUGGACCUGGUGUUCGGUUUAUCUGUUUCACUCAUGGUGGGUCGGCACAGUUCUUGAGGGGCCAUAAUGGAAUAAGACUCACUAACAGCAGCGUGGAGAUCUGUCCAGCUGCAGAGAGGUUGAGAUGCACGAAAUCCAACUUGCUGAUUAAUCCCAGUGCAGAAGACGGACUUCAAGGAUGGAAGAUGGUACAUAGUGGAAGCGGCUGCUGGGUGACAGCAGAAAAUAGCAAACCUCUUACAGACACAGUCACCAGAUGCUUUGUAACGUCUUUUGGGUUAUGUUUGAAGCGACAGCUGAUUGAUUUGCAAAAAGAAGGCUACAGUGAUACUUUCAUGGAUCAGGUGCAACCUCAUAUCAAGAUAUCAGACUGGUAUGAACCACGUUUUGAUUGUGGAUGUGAGUAUCAGAUCUGUGUGGAGUUGCUUGAUCAGGAGAACAAACCCAUCAGUACCUUUGAGCCUGAAAAAGUUGUAUUUCACUUUGGGAACUCUCAGCCGUGGUGUCAAACGGCACAUGUCUUUAAAAACUAUGGAGCUGGAGUUCGAUUUAUCAGGUUCACUCACGGAGGAAAGGAUACACACUACUGGGCAGGUCAUUAUGGAAUCAGAGUCACUAACAGUAGUGUGGAGAUCUGUCCAGAUGAUGAGAGCACCAGAUUCAUAAAUCGUAAUUUGAUCAAGAAUCCCAGCGCACAAGCUGGACUUCAAGAAUGGGAGCUUGUCGAAAACAGAGGCCACCAAUGGGUGACAGCUGAAAACAUGCGAACAUUUCCGGUCGAUACAUGUUUUGUAACAUCUUACGGGUUGUGUUUGAAGCAACAGCUGAUUGAUUUGCAGAAAGAGGGCUACAGUGAUAUGUUUAUGGAUCAACGGCAACCUCAUAUCAAAAUCUCAGACUGGUAUGCUCCACGCUCUGAUCAUAGAAGUGAAUAUCAGAUCUGUGUGGAGUUGCUCGAUCAGAAGAUGAACCCUGUUUGUACCUUUGAGCCUGAGAAAGUGUUCUUUCCCAAAGGAGGUGUUUAUCCAUGGCGUCAAAUGAGCCAUGUCUUUAAGGAGUAUGGACCCGGAGUUCGGUUUAUCCGUUUCACUCAUGGUGGGAAGGAUGCAAAAUUUCAGAAAGACUGUAAUGGCAUACAGGUCACUAACAGCUGUGUGGAGAUCUGUCCAGUUGACUAGACGCUGUGCUUUACAUAUUACUUUAACAGGCAGUAUAUUACAUUUGUUUAAAUUAGCAACUGAAUUCAUGAAAUAUGAUUAUCCAUGGGGACAAAUAUCUAAUAUAACAUUACAAAGGUGGACAGCUCAGUGGUGAGCACUAUCGCCUAACAGCAAGAAGGUCGCUAGUUUGAGUCCCGUUUGGGUUAGUUGGCAUUUCUGUGUGGAGCUUGUAUGUUCUCUCCAUGUUGG